UACGUAGGGGGCAAGCGUUGUCCGGAAUUAUUGGGCGUAAAGAGCUUGUAGGCGGUUUGUUGCGUCUGCUGUGAAAUUUCGGGGCUCAACCCCGAACUUGCAGUGGGUACGGGCAGACUAGAGUGUGGUAGGGGAGACUGGAAUUCCUGGUGUAGCGGUGAAGUGCGCAGAUAUCAGGAGGAACACCGGUGGCGAAGGCGGCACUCUGGGCCGGUACUGACGCUGAGGAGCGAAAGCGUGGGGAGCAAACAGG
rnacentral:rRNA from 1 species